UUUCUAUACAACAAAGUGAGGUCAGUCUUUGUUGAUUUAUACCAUGAGGUGCUGGCUAUCAUGUGUUUGAAGAUACCCUAAACCUAACCUAACCUAACCUAACAAAACACCAAACAGUUACUAUAGGUCUUGACUCAGAAAAUUCAUAUAUGCUUCCUUACUAAUGAGACUUUCUAUACAACAAAGUGAGGUCAGUCUUUGUUGAUUUAUACCAUGAGGUGCUGGCUAUCAUGUGUUUGAAGAUACCCUAAACCUAACCUAACAAAACACCAAACAGUUACUAUAGGUCUUGACUCAGAAAAUUUAUAUAUGCUUCCUUACUAAUGAGACUUUCUAUACAACACAGUGAGGUCAGUCUUUGUUGAUUUAUACCAUGAGGUGCUGGCUAUCAUGUGUUUGAAGAU